UUUUUUUUAUCCUCGGCGGCCAUCGAACCUGGGGCAUUCAGGGCACCUGCAAACCAGCCCUAGCAUCUUGUGGUGGUAAAUACCGAACAUGCUGCAAACCAAAUCUAAGAUGCAUAGCAAACUAUUGUCAGCGUUGAAUUUUAGAAUGAAUUGAAGCUUUGCCGUUCCGAUAAAACAGUGAUUAAGCGGCUUC